rnacentral:rRNA from 1 species
CCUACGGGAGGCAGCAGUGAGGAAUAUUGGUCAAUGGGCGCUAGCCUGAACCAGCCAAGUAGCGUGAAGGAUGACUGCCCUAUGGGUUGUAAACUUCUUUUAUAUGGGAAUAAAGUGCAGUAUGUAUACUGCUUUGCAUGUACCUUAUGAAUAAGGAUCGGCUAAUUCGUGCCCGCCGCCGGCGUUAUACGGGGGGUCCGGGCGUUAUUCGGGUUUUUUUGGUUUAAAGGGGGUGUAGGCGGGAUGUUAAGUCAGUUGUGAAAGUUUUCGGGGCAACCCGAAAAUUGCAGUUGAUACUGGCAUGCGUGAGUACAGGAGAGGUAGGCGGAAUUCGUGGUGUAGCGGUGAAAUGCUUAGAUAUCACGAAGAACUCCGAUUGCGAAGGCAGCCUGCUGGACUGUAACUGACGCUGAUGCUCGAAAGUGUGGGUAUCAAACAGGAUUAGAUACCCCGGUAGUC